rnacentral:rRNA from 1 species
AUUGAACGCUGGCGGCAGGCCUAACACAUGCAAGUCGAACGAGUGGCGGACGGGUGAGUAAUGUCUGUGAAACUGCCUGAUGGAGGGGGAUAACUACUGGAAACGGUAGCUAAUAACGCAUACCAUCAGAUGUGCCCAGAUGGGAUUAGCGAGUGGGUGGGGUAAAGGCUCACCAAGGGGACGAUCCCUAGCUGGUCUGAGAGGAGGACCAGCAACACUGGAACGGAGACACGGUCCAGACUCCUACGGGAGGCAGAAGUGGGGAAUAUUGGACAAUGGGCGCAAGCCUGAUGCAGCCAUGCCGCGUGUAUGAAGAAGGCCUUCGGGUUGUAAAGUACUUUCAGCGGGGAGGCGUUACCCGCAGAAGAAGCACCGGCUAACUCCGUGCCAGCAGCCGCGGUAAUAC